rnacentral:rRNA from 1 species
CAGAGGGUGCGAGCGUUGCUCGGAAUUCCUGGGCGUGAAGGGCGCGUAGUCGGACAGUUUAGUCAGAGGUGAAAGCCCAGGGCUCAACCUUGGAAUUGCCUUUGAUACUGGCUGUCUUGAGUUCGGGAGAGGUGAGUGGAAUGCCGAGUGUAGAGGUGAAAUUCGCAGAUAUUCGGCGGAACACCAGUGGCGAAGGCGACUCACUGGCCCGAUACUGACGCUGAGGCGCGAAAGCGUGGGGAGCAAACAGG